AGAGUUUGAUCCUGGCUCAGAAUAAACGCUGGCGGCGUGCUUAACACAUGCAAGUCGAGCGAGAAAGGUCUUCGGACUGAGUAAAGCGGCAAACGGGUGAGUAACACGUAGGAAUCUGCCUUUCAGUGAGGAAUACCCUCGAGAAAUCGAGGUUAAUACUGCAUACGUCUUGAAAAAGAGAAAGAUGGCCUCUUUGCUGUCGCUGAAAGAUGAGCCUGCGUACUAUUAGCUAGUUGGUAGGGUAAAAGCCUACCAAGGCGAUGAUGGUUAGCCGGCCUGAGAGGGUGUACGGCCACACUGGAACUUAGACACGGUCCAGACUCCUACGGGAGGCAGCAGUGAGGAAUAUUGCGCAAUGGGCGAAAGCCUGACGCAGCGACGCCGCGUGGAGGAUGAAGGUCUUCGGAUUGUAAACUUCUGUUAAGUGGGAAGAAAGGCGAAGCUCUAAUACAGCUUUGAUAUGACGGUACCACUAGAGAAAGCACCGGCUAACUUCGUGCCAGCAGUCGCGGUAAUACGAAGGGUGCGAGCGUUAUUCGGAUUUAUUGGGCGUAAAGGGUGCGCAGGCGGUAUGUUAAGUCAACUGUUAAAUCCCCCAGCCUAACUGGGGAUCGGCGGUAGAUACUGGCGUACUAGAGGGUGGAAGAGAGAAGUGGAAUUCUUGGAGUAGCGGUAAAAUGCGUAGAUCUCAAGAGGAACACCGAUGGCGAAGGCAGCUUCUUGGUCCACAUCUGACGCUCAUGCACGAAAGCGUGGGGAGCAAACAGGAUUAGAUACCCUGGUAGUCCACGCUGUAAACGAUGAUCACUAGACGUUAGUUCUGCUCUGCAGAAUUAGUGUCGUAGCUAACGCGAUAAGUGAUUCGCCUGGGGACUACGGUCGCA
rnacentral:rRNA from 1 species